GACGAACCGUGCGAACGUUGUUCGGAUUCACUGGGCUUAAAGGGCGCGUAGGCGGCUUGCCGAGUCAGGGGUGAAAUCUUUCGGCUCAACCGGAAAACUGCCCCUGAGACCGGCCGGCUGGAGGGGGGUAGGGGCGGACGGAACUUCCGGUGGAGCGGUGAAAUGCGUAGAUAUCGGAAGGAACGCCGGUGGCGAAAGCGGUCCGCUGGACCCCUUCUGACGCUGAGGCGCGAAAGCCAGGGGAGCGAACGGG
rnacentral:rRNA from 1 species